UACUAGCACCCCGAGUGGUCGGGACGAUUAUUGGGCCUAAAGCAUCCGUAGCCGGUUCUGCAAGUCCCCCGUUAAAUCCAGCUGCUCAACAGAUGGGCCGCGGAGGAUACUCCAGAGCUAGGAGGCAGGAGAGGCAAGCGGUACUCAGUGGGUAGGGGUAAAAUCCGUUGAUCCAUUGAAGACCACCAGUGGCGAAGGCGGCUUGCCAGAAUGCGCUCGACGGUGAGGGAUGAAAGCUGGGGGAGCAAACCGG
rnacentral:rRNA from 1 species